rnacentral:lncRNA from 1 species
GCAUAUGACAACCAGAACAAGAAAAAAAACGAUCUAUGAGAAUGUCCUACCAACAGGAUGAGCAUAGUUAGUUCUAUAUCCAUUACUUCUUUCCGAAACCUGCUUCAACAUGUAUGAACAUCAUCUCAUCAGUCUAUAUCCGUUUCAGUAUUCUCAUAACUGAGAAUAGUUGUGACAUUGUAAUUUCUCUUAUUUGCUCCUCUGCCCGUAACCAUUAGUAUAUGUUUCUUGCAACCCCUAAGAAAGGAACAAAAGUGAAGUGAUACAGGCAUGCCAAUACCAAUAAAGAGCAUGUGAUAUAUGAAUCAUCAUUUUACAAUAGCCAUGAAGGAAACCAACAAUGGUCGGCAUCGAGUAGUCACCCAGGAGCUUGCUGGAAAGCAUCAUCGAUGGUAGCUACCCUGAGUUCUAUCUUCAGAACUACCUUGUUUGAGGCAUUACUCUUUUCUAAUGGCCUUGGCACCAAACAACAACCAACAAAGAGGUGACAAUGUAAACAAUAGGAAGAAAAUGAACGCAAUAAUAAGAGGUUUUGGCAAGAUAGAAGUCUCGAUUUACGUUGUUUGGACAAAUAGACAUGUAAUAGUUUUCCAUUUUCUCUUUUGGCUUUCCUAAAGAGCUUGUGCAUUCAUAUACCGCUAAGCCUAAUUGGAUUAAUAUCCGAAGAGAGCACAAAACAAUCCUAUUUUUUAACAUUGUUUUAACUAUCAAAUCAAAACUUGAGCCAUUGUUUUAACCAUCCCUAUUUUAUAUUCGUGUACUGUUAAAAUGCAGACCAUCUUGCUUCAUAGAGAAAAAUUGAAAAAGCAACAAAGUUUUGCUUCAUGAUUUACCUAUGAACCAGAACGCAUCUUACGCUUAAGGAAGGAUGUACUUCAGCUACCCAAGGCUCCAUGUUCUCCAUCUCUCCCAAAAUUUCAGCACCAUC